rnacentral:rRNA from 1 species
UGAGGAAUAUUGGUCGAUGGACGGAAGUCUGAACCAGCCAUGCCGCGUGAAGGAUGAAGGCGUUCUGCGUUGUAAACUUCUUUUAUCAGGGAAGAAACCUAUUUUUUCUAAGAUAGUUGACGGUACCUGAGGAAUAAGCACCGGCUAACUCCGUGCCAGCAGCCGCGGUAAUACGGAGGGUGCAAGCGUUAUCCGGAUUUACUGGGUUUAAAGGGUGUGUAGGCGGGCAUUUAAGUCUGGGGUGAAAUCUCCGAGCUCAACUCGGAAACUGCCUUGGAUACUAUUUGCCUUGAAUUAUGUUGAGGUUGGCGGAAUAUAACAUGUAGCGGUGAAAUGCAUAGAUAUGUUAUAGAACACCAAUUGCGAAGGCAGCUGGCUACACAACUAUUGACGCUGAGGCACGAAAGCGUGGGGAUCAAACA